AGUCUUAAUAUCGCGAGGGCCAAUUCACAUCUACUUUAGCAAAAAUAUUAAUUAGAUAACUGUACAUACAUCAGGUUGUCACAAAAGUGCAUUUAAAAACAGCAGUGUGCACAAUUUGUUACUUUCAAAUGACCUUCAGUAAAAAAAUACAAAUAAAAUCCAACUAUGUUGACCUUAAAGAAAAUCUUGGAUCAUAAAUAUGUAUUUGAACGAUCCCAUUAUCAUAAGAGGUGUAAUCAUACAAUAGAACAUAAUGGUUUUGGUAUCAGUAUAAUGACAUUAACAGUAAAUUGUGCACUUCUGUAUAAACGUCUCCCCGAAUAGGGAACACAGAAUGUAAUGCUGACAAUGAUCAACUGUUAUAAAGGUUGAAGAAAAGUACAGUAGUUGUACAGUAAGGCUGAGGGUUUAAAGGGAUAGUUUAGGAUUUUACACAACUUAUUGUUAGGCUCCUCACUCUGUCAAGGCUUUGGGCCAGGAGAAACAGUAAUGCAUUGUUCUGUUCCCUUUAAACAGCCACUUCAAAACGUCACAUAGCUGACGCCCAAUAGAAGUGAAUGGGACAUUGCAUUUAGAAAGCAAUUUCAAAAAGAUUCCACCAGAGCAGACCAGCAAAAAACAUGCCCCUGAGUUUGAUUUGAUUGAUUAGAAAUGCUUAUCACAAGCCCACAGACAGGGCAAAAACAUAGUGCCUAGCCAACCUUCAUAGUUCUGCUGUCCGUUGACGUGUUUUUUUUUUUUUUUAAAGAGAGAUAGCAGAGUUUUCCAUCGUAUUCCCCAUGUUAGGCGGCAGGGUAGAGGUUAGAGCGUUGGGCUAGUGACCGGAAGGUUGCAAGUUCAAACCCCCGAGCUGACAAGGUACAAAUCUGUCGUUCUGCUCCUGAAUAGGCAGUUAACCCACUGUUCCUAGGCCGUCAUUGAAAAUAAGAAUUUGUUCUUAACUGACUUUCCUGGAUAAAUAAAGGUUUGAAAAAAAAAAAAAGGCUAGCUUCCUCUCUGUAGGUCUUUGUUGACAAAUAUUUACGGUGUGAUUUUUUGAUAACACUUUACAUUACAGUGCUCUUAUUACUGUGUAAUUAGUCCUGUAAGAACAAUUUAAGUCUUGCAAUCACUCAUUACAAUCAUUACAUUGUACCUAGGGUAGGUUACUGCUGUAAGUUAGUGUAAGUACAAUGUAACAAUGAGUAAUUACAAUACUUGUUCAUCUGCACGUACAGGUAUAAUUACACAGUAAUAAGGGCACUGUAGUGUAAAGUGUUACAGAUUUUUCAAAAUGGUGGAACUAAAUACAUAAAAUGCUUUUAUUCUAAAUGGUCAAACUAUUUGUCUCAUAUAUUCAUUAUUUGAUUUUCAUAGACAAUACUCACUUUUGAUGAUGAGAGUCAUCAUGGUCCUCAUCAUGCGUUGUAACAGGAACAGCCUCCCAGUCUUCACUUACAGAAAACUUAAACAUGAAAUUAAAGUGUUGGGGGUGUGGUGGAGCAUAAUAACCAUUUCCUAAAAUGUUUACCCCCUGACAUAUUAGUCAAUCAGAAACGCACAUUAAGAAUGUAUUUCGCAGAACAGCGACUAGAUUUACUGAUCCUUCGCAUGUUUUGACUAAAAUGUAAAUGAUCAACUUUCACUGUCAGUUUACUUGCAAAAAUCUCAUGAAUUUGAUGAAGAACAUUGUGUUUUAUUCCACAGUGUUUGUUAACAGCAAUGUAUUUGUUCCAUGACCUCUGCACUGCAUGGAGCUGUUCAUUUCCAGUAUUUAUUCAAUAGAACUGUGCUAUUGGCUGUUCUAUGAGCAAAUACAAAAAGUUAAAUGGAGGAAUCUUGAAAACAUGAGAGCAGUUUUUUUUUUUAACAUUCUGAUACAGUUCAAACCAUGGCUUGAUGGGCUCUUGGUGGCUCUCUUUGUUUCCUGUACCGGUGGUAGGUGGACUUGUUAACCACAGAAAAAAAGAAAUGUGUUGAUGCAUUCACAUCCUAUGCAGUUCUUUCAGGAACUGCCAAGAAACGAUGAAAAAGAGAACAGCUCUAACAAUUCUAUGUUGUCAAAAUGAGAUUCUAGUGAAACCAGGGGACACAUCGGCUGUGACAUUACCCUGGACGAGAUCAUGUGGUUUUCGAGUCAGUGUAUUACACAGGCCUGUUCAGAAGCAAUCUGAGCAUACUGAACAUCUCAGAGAGUGACGUGGGUCUGUACUACUGUGUUGAGCAGAGGGCUAACAUAUUUGAGAUCGGAAGUGGGACCAAGCUCUCCCUUAUCAGUGGUGAUCAGCUCUCUACUACUGUUGUUGGGAUGAAGUUGUCAUGGUUUAUCACCUUGAUCAUAGCCCCCAUGUUCUCUGUACUGGGGUCUGCUCUCUGUGUCUUCUGCUGUUGACGACCUCCUAAGAAAUGAUUUGCACCCAAUAAUUCUAAUUUUCACAUUGAAUCAGCUUUCUGAAAUGUCUUUUUUAAAUACUUAUGUGGUGCAACUCACGGUCUGUAAAUCGGUCAUUGGUGUUUAUUGCGCAUUUCAUGAAGAUAAAAAAAAAUAGCUGUCCUCUUACACUGUAGAUCCUGACAAAAUGAGGAUUCUGGAACAAUUUGGUUGAAGCCUGUCAUCUAGAGGACCAAGAGUGAGUAUAGGAGGACAAACAGGAAUAAAAUGUAAAGAUACUGAGAGUAAAAGUAACAUUUCUGGUGUUUUAUGAAGUCUCCUGUGACACACGGGGUUAAACUUCUGCCACUCCAUACAUCUAAGUAGGUGGACGAUGGGAUCUACAUGUGUCCAGAUUGGUUUCACAUCUUUGUAUUUAUUGUGUUAUUCCAGUGUUGAUUGCAUGACCAGUAUGUUCAGGGUGUUAGAGAUAGAAAUGUAUUGAACAAGAUCAUUGUAGACAUGUGAUCAUAAAUCAUUCACGUCAUAUCUACCAUUCCAUCCACGGACCAAUUAUCAAAACAGUAGUGGUUUAACCAUAAAUCUGCAACUAUAAAUAUAUUUUUAAAUCUGAAA